GGGUGGUGACACGUGAGCGCCGCGGCUACUAGGAUAGUGGACACAGCGCGCCUGGCUACUGCACUAGUAGAAUGCCGCGGGUGGUGACUCUUCAGCGCCGCGGCUACUAGGAUAGUGGACACAGCGCGCCUGGCUACUGCACUAGUAGAAUGCUGCGGGUGGUGACACGUCAGCGCCGCGGCUACUAGGAUAGUGGACACAGCGCGCCUGGCUACUGCACUAGUAGAAUGCCGCGGGUGGUGACACUUCAGCGCCGCGGCUACUAGGAUAGUGGACACAGCGCGCCUGGCUACUGCACUAGUAGAAUGCCGCGGGUGGUGACACUUCAGCGCCGCGGCUACUAGGAUAGUGGACACAGCGCGCCUGGCUACUGCACUAGUAGAAUGCCGCGGGUGGUGACACGUCAGCGCCGCGGCUACUAGCAUAGUGGACACAGCGCGCCUGGCUACUGCACUAGUAGAAUGCUGCGGGUGGUGACACGUCAGCGCCGCGGCUACUAGGAUAGUGGACACAGCGCACCUGGCUACUGCACUAGUAGAAUGUUGCGGGUGGUGACACGUGAGCGCCGCGGCUACUAGGAUAGUGGACACAGCGCGCCUGGCUACUGCACUAGUAGAAUGCCGCGGGUGGUGACUCUUCAGCGCCGCGGCUACUAGGAUAGUGGACACAGCGCGCCUGGCUACUGCACUAGUAGAAUGCUGCGGGUGGUGACACCUCAGCGCCGCGGCUACUAGGAUAGUGGACACAGCGCGCCUGGCUACUGCACUAGUAGAAUGCCGCGGGUGGUGACACGUCAGCGCCGCGGCUACUAGGAUAGUGGACACAGCGCGCCUGGCUACUGCACUAGUAGAAUGCCGCGGGUGGUGACACGUCAGCGCCGCGGCUACUAGCAUAGUGGACACAGCGCGCCUGGCUACUGCACUAGUAGAAUGUUGCGGGUGGUGACACGUGAGCGCCGCGGCUACUAGGAUAGUGGACACAGCGCGCCUGGCUACUGCACUAGUAGAAUGCUGCGGGUGGUGACACUUCAGCGCCGCGGCUACUAGGAUAGUGGACACAGCGCGCCUGGCUACUGCACUAGUAGAAUGUUGCGGGUGGUGACACGUGAGCGCCGCGGCUACUAGGAUAGUGGACACAGCGCGCCUGGCUACUGCACUAGUAGAAUGCUGCGGGUGGUGACACCUCAGCGCCGCGGCUACUAGGAUAGUGGACACAGCGCGCCUGGCUACUGCACUAGUAGAAUGCUGCGGGUGGUGACACGUCAGCGCCGCGGCUACUAGGAUAGUGGACACAGCGCGCCUGGCUACUGCACUAGUAGAAUGCCGCGGGUGGUGACACGUCAGCGCCGCGGCUACUAGGAUAGUGGACACAGCGCGCCUGGCUACUGCACUAGUAGAAUGCUGCGGGUGGUGACACUUCAGCGCCACGGCUACUAGGAUAGUGGACACAGCGCGCCUGGCUACUGCACUAGUAGAAUGCCGCGGGUGGUGACACUUCAGCGCCGCGGCUACUAGGAUAGUGGAUACAGCGCGCCUGGCUACUGCACUAGUAGAAUGUUGCGGGUGGUGACACGUCAGCGCCGCGGCUACUAGGAUAGUAGACACAGCACGCCUUACUACUGCACUAGUAGAAUGCCGCGGGUGGUGACACCUCAGCUCCACGGCUACUAGGAUAGUGGACACAGCGCGCCUGGCUACUGCACUAGUAGAAUGCUGCGGUUGGUGACCCGUAAGCGCCGCGGCUACUAGGAUAGUGGACACAGCGCGCCUGGCUACUGCACUAGUAGAAUGUUGCGGGUGGUGACACGUCAGCGCCGCGGCUACUAGGAUAGUGGACACAGCGCGCCUGGCUACUGCACUAGUAGAAUGCCGCGGGUGGUGACCCUCAGCGCCGCGGCUACUAGGAUAGUGGACACAGCGCGCCUGGCUACUGCACUAGUAGAAUGCUGCGGGUGGUGACACCUCAGCGCCGCGGCUACUAGGAUAGUGGACACAGCGCGCCUGGCUACUGCACUAGUAGAAUGCCGCGGGUGGUGACACCUCAGCGCCGCGGCUACUAGGAUAGUGGACACAGCGCGCCUGGCUACUGCACUAGUAGAAUGUUGCGGGUGGUGACACGUCAGCGCCGCGGCUACUAGGAUAGUAGACACAGCACGCCUUACUACUGCACUAGUAGAAUGCCGCGGGUGGUGACACCUCAGCUCCACGGCUACUAGGAUAGUGGACACAGCGCGCCUGGCUACUGCACUAGUAGAAUGCUGCGGUUGGUGACCCGUAAGCGCCGCGGCUACUAGGAUAGUGGACACAGCGCGCCUGGCUACUGCACUAGUAGAAUGCCGCGGGUGGUGACACCUCAGCGCCGCGGCUACUAGGAUAGUGGACACAGCGCGCCUGGCUACUGCACUAGUAGAAUGCUGCGGGUGGUGACACUUCAGCGCCGCGGCUACUAGGAUAGUGGACACAGCGCGCCUGGCUACUGCACUAGUAGAAUGCUGCGGGUGGUGACACCUCAGCGCCGCGGCUACUAGGAUAGUGGACACAGCGCGCCUGGCUACUGCACUAGUAGAAUGCCGCGGGUGGUGACACCUCAGCGCCGCGGCUACUAGGAUAGUGGACACAGCGCGCCUGGCUACUGCACUAGUAGAAUGCUGCGGGUGGUGACACCUCAGCGCCACGGCUACUAGGAUAGUGGACACAGCGCGCCUGGCUACUGCACUAGUAGAAUGCCGCGGGUGGUGACACUUCAGCGCCGCGGCUACUAGGAUAGUGGAUACAGCGCGCCUGGCUACUGCACUAGUAGAAUGCCGCGGGUGGUGACACGUCAGCGCCGCGGCUACUAGGAUAGUGGACACAGCGCGCCUGGCUACUUCACUAGUAGAAUGCUGCGGGUGGUGACCCGUAAGCGCCGCGGCUGCAAGGAUAGUGGACACAGCGCGCCUGGCUAUGCACUAGUAGAAUGCUGCAAGUGGUGACACGUCAGAGCGGCGGCUACUAGGAUAGUGGACACAGCGCGCCUUACUACUGCACUAGUAGAAUGCCGCGGGUGGUGACACCUCAGCUCCACGGCUACUAGGAUAGUGGACACAGCGCGCCUGGCUACUGCACUAGUAGAAUGCUGCAGGUGGUGACACCUCAGCGCCACGGCUGCUAGGAUAGUGGACACAGCGCGCCUGGCUACUGCACUAGUAGAAUGCUGCGGGUGGCGACACUUCAGCGCCGCGGCUGCUAGGAUAGUGGACACAGCGCGCCUGGCUACUGCACUAGUAGAAUGCCGCGGGUGGUGACACGUCAGCGCCGCGGCUACUAGCAUAGUGGACACAGCGCGCCUGGCUACUGCACUAGUAGAAUGCUGCGGGUGGUGACCCCUAAGCGCCGCGGCUGCUAGGAUAGUGGACACAUCGCGCCUGGCUACUGCACUAGUAGAAUGCUGCAAGUGGUGACACGUCAGAGCGGCGGCUACUAGGAUAGUGGACACAGCGCGCCUUACUACUGCACUAGUAGAAUGCCGCGGGUGGUGACACCUCAGCUCCACGGCUACUAGGAUAGUGGACACAGCGCGCCUGGCUACUGCACUAGUAGAAUGCCGCGGGUGGUGACUCUUCAGCGCCGCGGCUACUAGGAUAGCGGACACAGCGCGCCUGGCUUCUGCACUAGUAGAAUGCUGCGGGUGGUGACACCUCAGCGCCACGGCUACUAGGAUAGUGGACACAGCGCGCCUGGCUACUGCACUAGUAGAAUGCCGCGGGUGGUGACACGUCAGCGCCGCGGCUACUAGGAUAGUGGAUACAGCGCGCCUGGCUACUGCACUAGUAGAAUGCCGCGGGUGGUGACACGUCAGCGCCGCGGCUACUAGGAUAGUG
rnacentral:lncRNA from 1 species